UGGGGAAUAUUGGACAAUGGGCGAAAGCCUGAUCCAGCCAUGCCGCGUGUGUGAAGAAGGUCUUCGGAUUGUAAAGCACUUUAAGUUGGGAGGAAGGGCAUUAACCUAAUACGUUAGUGUUUUGACGUUACCGACAGAAUAAGCACCGGCUAACUCUGUGCCAGCAGCCGCGGUAAUACAGAGGGUGCAAGCGUUAAUCGGAAUUACUGGGCGUAAAGCGCGCGUAGGUGGUUUGUUAAGUUGGAUGUGAAAUCCCCGGGCUCAACCUGGGAACUGCAUUCAAAACUGACUGACUAGAGUAUGGUAGAGGGUGGUGGAAUUUCCGGUGUAGCGGUGAAAUGCGUAGAUAUAGGAAGGAACACCAGUGGCGAAGGCGACCACCUGGACUAAUACUGACACUGAGGUGCGAAAGCGUGGGGAGCAAACA
rnacentral:rRNA from 1 species